CUACUAAGGCACCACUGCCUUCAUGCACUCACUCUCUUGAUAUGUGAAAUUGACAGGAUUUUCUCCUUUUCGGAGAAAUUCUUGAAGCUGGACAAAAAAAACACUAAAGAAUCCAUAGUGCUAGCGUUAGCCGCUAAGCAGGAAGUGGCUAUCGGCUAACACUAUGGAUUCUUUAGCGAGUUGAUGCAUGCACACUACAAAUCUUAUUUUCAGUACGGAACUCGGAGACCCAAACCUGUUCCAGCAUGACAAUAAACCUGUUCAACACAACAAGCUUCAAUCCUACAAUCUUACCUUACAGGGCCACUGAUUCCAGCUCCAAGCUUCUGGGUCCAGUUUAUAGUGUACUCUUCCA